rnacentral:rRNA from 1 species
AUUGAACGCUGGCGGCAUGCCUUACACAUGCAAGUCGAACGGUAACGCGGGGCAACCUGGCGACGAGUGGCGAACGGGUGAGUAAUGCAUCGGAACGUGCCCGGUAGUGGGGGAUAACUGCUCGAAAGAGCAGCUAAUACCGCAUACGACCUGAGGGUGAAAGGGGGGGAUCGCAAGACCUCUCGCUAUCGGAGCGGCCGAUGUCGGAUUAGCUAGUUGGUGGGGUAAAGGCCCACCAAGGCAACGAUCCGUAGCUGGUCUGAGAGGACGACCAGCCACACUGGGACUGAGACACGGCCCAGACUCCUACGGGAGGCAGCAGUGGGGGAUUUUGGACAAUGGACGCAAGUCUGAUCCAGCAAUGCCGCGUGCGGGAAGAAGGCCUUCGGGUUGUAAACCGCUUUUGUUAGGGAAGAAAUCCUCUGGGCUAAUACCUUGGGGGGAUGACGGUACCUGAAGAAUAAGCACCGGCUAACUACGUGCCAGCCGCCGCGGUAAUAC